GGGGAAACCCGGGGCGGUGGCGGCGGCCUGGGCGCGUGCGCGAGGUCUCCGCGUGGCUAUAUAAACAUGGCUGGCGUGGCCGCGCGGCGGGGCCGUGCCAAUCGCGCGUAGGGGGCUGUGGGCGCUCGGGGUUCGUAGUUUUGAAAUUUCUGGCGGGGGAGCAGCUGCACAGUUAGGCUCGAGGUGUGAGCGACGACCUUCCGGGAGCCGCAAGUCCAGGCUCCCCCGCAGCGGGACCCGAGCCUGAGGCGCAGGGCUGAGGCAGCGCACGUGUGAGCGCCGCUGAGGAAGCUGCGAGAGGUCGGGCGGGUGUCGCUCCGGGGGCAGCCCAGGCUCGCGCGGACGAGAGGAAGGUCCGGGACGCGCGUGUCCUGCCGUGCAGCCGGCGCCCGUCACUGACUUCGCUGCUGCGGCCCCCGCGCCUCUCCCCAGCGAUGCUGUGGAGCCCGAACCGCACCGGAGUCGGCUGCCGCGCGCCAAGCCUCCCCUCACCUCUGCUCCCGGAACCGCAGCGCCGCAGCUGCCGCUGAGCCCCUGGGGGAUGCCCGCCGGCCUCACCGAACCCGCCGGCGCCGCUCCCCCGGCUGCUGUGAGCGCCUCGGGGACCGUGACCAUGGCCCCGGCCGGGGCGCUGCCGGUGCGGGUGGAGAGCACUCCGGUGGCCCUGGGCGCCGUGACUAAGGCUCCUGUCAGCGUCUGCGUGGAGCCCACGGCGUCCCAGCCCCUGCGGUCCCCCGUGGGGACCCUGGUGACCAAAGUGGCUCCGGUCAGCGCCCCUCCUAAACUCAGCAGCGGCCCUAGGUUGCCUGCUCCUCAGAUAGUCGCCGUGAAAGCCCCCAACACCACGACAAUCCAGUUUCCUGCUAAUUUGCAGCUUCCUCCAGGAACCGUUUUGAUUAAAAGUAACAGUGGUCCGUUGAUGUUGGUAUCUCCUCAGCAAACUGUAACAAGAGCCGAGACCACAAGUAACAUAACCUCAAGGCCAGCAGUACCAGCGAAUCCUCAAACAGUCAAAAUCUGUACAGUGCCGAACUCUAGCUCACAAUUAAUCAAGAAAGUGGCAGUGACACCUGUUAAAAAAUUGGCACAAAUAGGAACUACUGUGGUAACCACUGUUCCGAAGCCUUCCUCAGUACAAUCUGUGGCUGUGCCAACCAGUGUCGUCACAGUUACUCCUGGAAAGCCAUUGAAUACUGUAACUACCCUGAAGCCUUCAAGUUUGGGAGCAUCAUCCACUCCUUCAAAUGAGCCCAAUCUUAAAGCAGAGAACUCAGCAGCUGUUCAGAUUAAUCUUUCUCCGACAAUGCUAGAAAAUGUGAAGAAAUGCAAGAACUUCCUUGCAAUGUUAAUAAAACUAGCAUGUAGUGGAUCACAGUCCCCAGAAAUGGGGCAAAAUGUGAAGAAGCUGGUGGAACAACUUUUGGAUGCAAAAAUCGAAGCAGAAGAAUUUACUAGGAAACUGUAUGUUGAACUCAAGUCUUCACCUCAGCCUCACCUGGUUCCUUUUCUUAAGAAAAGCGUGGUUGCCUUACGACAACUUCUGCCUAACUCCCAGAGCUUCAUCCAGCAAUGUGUUCAGCAGACUUCUAGUGACAUGGUCAUUGCUACCUGUACUACAACAGUAACAACUUCUCCUGUGGUGACAACUACAGUGUCCUCAAGCCAGUCUGAAAAGUCAAUUAUUGUUUCUGGAGCAACAGCACCCAGAACUGUGUCAGUGCAAACUUUGAACCCACUUGCUGGUCCAGUGGGAGCAAAAGCUGGAGUUGUGACACUUCAUUCUGUGGGCCCAACUGCUGCAACAGGAGGAACAACAGCUGGAACUGGUUUGCUUCAGACUUCAAAACCACUUGUGACAUCUGUACCAAACACAGUGACCACGGUCUCACUGCAACCUGAAAAGCCAGUUGUCUCCGGAACAGCAGUAACACUGUCCCUUCCAGCAGUAACUUUUGGAGAAACUUCAGGUGCAGCUAUUUGUCUUCCAUCUGUGAAACCUGUUGUUUCUUCUGCUGGGACCACAUCUGACAAGCCUGUUAUUGGGACUCCAGUUCAAAUCAAACUUGCCCAGCCGGGCCCUGUCCUUUCACAACCAGCUGGGAUUCCACAGGCAGUUCAAGUCAAGCAACUAGUAGUUCAGCAGCCUUCAGGAGGCAAUGAAAAACAAGUGACCACAAUUUCACAUUCCUCAACAUUGACCAUUCAGAAAUGUGGACAGAAGACGAUGCCAGUGAACACCAUAAUACCUACUAGUCAGUUUCCUCCAGCUUCCAUUCUAAAGCAAAUUACUCUGCCUGGAAAUAAAAUUCUGUCGCUUCAAGCAUCUCCUACUCAGAAAAAUAGAAUAAAAGAGAAUGGAACAUCAUGCUUCCGAGAUGAGGAUGACAUCAAUGAUGUGACUUCUAUGGCAGGGGUCAACCUUAAUGAAGAAAAUGCCUGCAUCUUAGCAACAAACUCUGAAUUGGUUGGCACACUCAUUCAGUCAUGUAAAGAUGAACCAUUUCUUUUUAUUGGAGCUCUACAAAAGAGAAUUUUAGACAUUGGUAAAAAGCAUGACAUUACAGAACUUAACUCUGAUGCUGUGAACUUGAUCUCCCAAGCAACACAGGAACGACUACGAGGCCUUCUAGAAAAACUGACUGCAAUUGCUCAGCAUCGAAUGACUACUUACAAGGCAAGUGAAAAUUACAUCCUGUGUAGUGAUACCAGGUCACAGCUCAAAUUUCUUGAAAAGCUGGAUCAAUUGGAGAAGCAGAGAAAGGAUUUGGAAGAAAGAGAAAUGUUACUUAAGGCAGCCAAGAGUCGUUCUAAUAAAGAAGAUCCAGAACAACUGAGAUUAAAGCAGAAAGCCAAAGAGUUACAGCAAUUGGAACUUGCACAGAUACAGCAUAGAGAUGCUAAUCUCACAGCUCUUGCAGCUAUUGGACCAAGGAAGAAGAGACCACUGGAAUCUGGAAUUGAGACUCUGGGCCCUUAACCACAUUAGUAUUCUUUGUGAUUUCUAAUGUGACCAGAAAUCAGUCCUAGUCAACUCUGGGGAAAGGACUUGGUGAGGCAGAGGAAAAUUAAAACUGAUGGUGAAAAAGCAGGGCUUAAAAGACAACCUUCUUGCUUCUGGGACAUCCAGCCUGACAGCCACCAAACAGUUGCAUCGUCCAAGAAUCACGAGAAUCUGCCUCAGGGACUUGAUAUUUUGUAUGGAACAGGAACGGGAGAUGAAGUAUUCUCGAGCUCUAUACCUGGCCCUUCUGAAGUGACCACUCCACUCUUCCAUCCAGAUCCUUGCUAUUUACUGCCAAAGAAGACACAAAGAGCAUUGUUGCACUGUCCUGAAAUUUCAAUUUCUGGAAAAUAAUCACCAACAUGAAAGAGCAUUGUUUACAGUUAGAAACUUUAUUAACUCUUACCUAUCCAUCUCAUGGGACUCUUACAGACUCAGAUUCAUCUUUGUCUUCUGAAAAUCAGUUAUGAAAUACACUUUGCACAGAAUUAGGCAUCUGCCUAUCUGUGCAUUAAAUUAAAGCAAGUUAAGGCCCUAUUUGUUACUACCUGCCUCAUUUGCCAAAUUGUAGCAGGUGAGGUGUCCUUCCCUAAUACAGCAUGCAUUGAGAUGCAGGAGAAAGGAAGAGGCAUAAGAAAAUACAAGAUUGACUAUUUCAUUCUAUAUUGAACCUGUCCCAAAGUGGUAGGUUUUCUGGGCUGGAAUCAGAAGUUGCUUAGCUAACUAUGACAGUCACCUUCUGUACGUGACAGGCCACUGUGGUGACUUUGGUCGGCUGAGUUCCAGUGUUGUCAAAACAAGACAAAUGGGGAUAGAUUGUGCCUGGGGUUGCUAAUUCUCUGCUUCAUAUCACCAUAUGCCGUUUCUGGUACCAAGUGAGGGGACAUGCUUGUCAGGGAAACCUUAAAAUUGAAUCUACUGAUAUAUCUUGUUGAAAAAAUGGAAAAGGUGCAAAGUAUUAGAAGGAACGUUAGGGCGUUGCUUUCAAACUGAUGAGGGGAAUGUGAAAAUGGUAUCAUAAAACAGGAAAUGUGCUUCAUAUGCCCAAGAGGGGAAGAGGUAGAAUCGGAACUCCAAAACAACUGGUACAUGUUUUGUUGAUGGGCAAAAAAAAUCACAGCACAACCAGAAAGGAGAAUGUACCAGAUGUUUUCAAAUUAGAGUAUUUCAAAAGGAAAAUGUUAUUUUUUGUUUUGUAUUGUUUUACAUCCCAAGAAGGAUAGUUUUUAUAGUUCCUUCUGUCAUAAUAUAUUUUAGUUAUCCUAAUUUUUAAGCAUGUUGGCACAUUUAAAAAAUCCUAAUUGAUGAUGAGAAAUUUUUAACAAUAGGACUUUAUGUUGGAUUCUGUACUUAAAAGGUACUGUCAAUAUCUCACUCUUGGGGAUAUGAGCUCUAAAUAUGAGAAGCAAGUUAUAUGUGUUCACCUGAGGAAGAAGCUGACGGACAAAGCAAACCCUCUUUAAAAAAAAAAAAGAAAGAAAAUUCCACGUGUGUGGAAUACAGCCGGUGAAAAAUAAUCACUGUAGUUAGAAUCACAUACAGAAAAAAGUGAUUGAAUCCUCCAAGAAGGUAUUUCAAAAAUGGGAAAUGCUAUACUUAUAAGAAUUGAAGGGAAAAAAAAAAAACACCUCACGUAUGUUAUUCUUCAUCCUGUUCUUCCCAUUGGGACUGUUAUGGCCAUAUUCUACAGUAUAGUAAAUUUUAAAUUGGCCACAUUUUUUUUUGUUUCAGCAAGUUAUGUAAAAUGCUAUAAAUUAUGUGUAUGUUAAAGGAGUACUUUAAGAAGAGAUCUUUAUCCAAAGUUGUUUUUGUAUAUUUAAAUGCUUACCUUUAUUUUUUGUAAAGUGCAGCAUACUCAUUUGUGUAUAAUCUUACUGAUCAGAUGUUUAAAAUUAUUUCAAAUACUUCAUUAAAAUAAUUAUUUUAUUAUAAGAA